GACGAACGCUGGCGGCGUGCUUAACACAUGCAAGUCGAACGGUAAGGCCCCUUCGGGGGUACGACGAGUGGCGAACGGGUGAGUAACACGUGAGCAACCUGCCCUUGACUCUGGAAUAACAGUUGGAAACAGCUGCUAAUACCGGUUAUGACCUGUCACCGCAUGGUGGUGGGUGGAAAGUUCCGGCGGUCAGGGAUGGGCUCGCGGCCUAUCAGCUUGUUGGUGAGGUAACGGCUCACCAAGGCUUCGACGGGUAGCCGGCCUGAGAGGGCGACCGGCCACACUGGGACUGAGAUACGGCCCAGACUCCUACGGGAGGCAGCAGUGGGGAAUAUUGCACAAUGGCGAAAGCCUGAUGCAGCAACGCCGCGUGCGGGAUGACGGCCUCGGUUGUAACCG
rnacentral:rRNA from 1 species